UGGAUAAGAUUAAAUAUUCAAUAGUUAGAACUUAAACUGUUUUGUCUCAUAUAUAUAUAUAUAUAUAUAUAUAUAUAUAUAUAUAUAUAUAUAUGUGUGUGUGUGUGUGUGUGUGUGUGUGUGUGUAUGUGUGUAUUCCCCACCCCAGGCUUAGAUACUGUCCAA
rnacentral:sRNA from 1 species